UAAAACACGGCUUGUAGAGAGACUAAACAUGAACAAAGACUAUACACGUGUGUGUCUUUACACAAAAAUAUAAAUCGUUUGUGUAUGGGACAUUCCUGUCCACAUUAGAAGCAGUGGGAUGUUGUUAUUUCUGGGACACAGAGCUGGAACGCAGGUGAUGGCUGUUCAGAACAGCUCCUGAGUCUCACUUCAUACUUCUGUCUCGGUGAAAUGGUUUGGCCACGAGGAGGUCCUAUUACAGAGCUGUUGUAGAUUUGUGAUAGAUUCUGAAGAGACUGCGGGACAUUCUGGUCAUUGGAAGGGAACAGCUUGCAGGAGUGGCCACACCGGAGCCCAGGCGGCGGCACUCCCGAGCCUAGGACCCUGAGCGCCGGUAAGGAGCGUGGCAAGGACAGGGUUAAUGCCCCGUCCCGGGCUGCCCGCUGCCUCCACCGCAAUCCUGUAAUUAGGCUAAUGAAGCAGGUUCACCGAGUAGGAUGGAAAUGUAAUUGGCUGCACCACCUGAGCUCUGCAAGGCUUCAGAGACGCCUUGGAGCAAAGUGCAGUCAAGGAUCGCAACCGUGGGCAGAACGUCAGCACAGAAAAGGAGAGAAAAGCCAGUGGGAGCUUGCCAUUCCCUGAAUUUUUUCAAAGGUACGUCUUUUCUGUAUAAUUGCUCCCAACCCCACUUUGUGUAAGCAUGAAGAUUAAGUGGACAAAGACAAAUUCAGUUAAGCCGCAGGCUUGGGUGACCGGCAAUUUUUCUUGGGGAGCUGAAACCACACAUCUCGAGGGUAGGGACGAGCGUGCAGGACGCCUCUGAACGGGAGGGAGGCAGGAUUUGAGGAUAAAUCACGUGACGAACUGAGCCCUCCCCUAUUAAUCUUUUAUUCAGAAACAGACACUGUUUUAAGGGGAAAUUAAAGGCGAUCAAUAAGCUGGCUUGCCUGGGCGGCUUCUGAGCACAAGAUGCAAAUAUCAUUCCAAAUUCUAGAUUCCAAAGAGAUUGCUGCAUUGAUAUGUUAA